rnacentral:rRNA from 1 species
AGGGAAAGAGGGAGGUAUGCUUUACACAUGCAAGUCGAGCGGCAGCGCGGGGGCAACCCUGGCGGCGGGCGGCGGACGGGUGAGUGAUGCAUCGGAACGUCUCCUCGAGUGGGGGCUAAGCCAACGACAGUUGGGCUCAUACCGCAUGAGCUCUGAGGAGGAAAGCGGGGGACCUGCGAGGCUCUCGCGCUGGAGGGGCUGCAGAUGUCCGAUUAGCUAGUUGGUGGGGUAAAGGCUUACCAAGGCGACGAUCGGUAGCUGGUCUGAGAGGAUGAUCAGCCACACUGGAACUGAGACACGGCCCAGACUCCUACGGGAGGCAGCAGUGGGGAAUUUUGGACAAUGGGCGCAACCCUGAUCCAGCCAUGCCGCGUGAGUGAAGAAGGCCUUCGGGUUGUAAAGCUCUUUCGUACGGAACGAAAAGGGCGGGACUAAUACUCCUGUCUGAUGACGGUACCGAAAGAAGAAGCACCGGCUAACUACGUG